rnacentral:rRNA from 1 species
UACAGAGGGUGCGAGCGUUGUCCGGAAUCACUGGGCGUAAAGGGCGCGUAGGCGGCUUUUCAAGCGUGCGGUGAAAGCUCGGGGCUUAACUCCGAGUCUGCCGUGCGAACUGGGAGGCUUGAGUCUGGUAGAGGUCGAUGGAAUUCCGGGUGUAGCGGUGGAAUGCGCAGAUAUCAGGAGGAACACCAGUGGCGAAGGCGGUGCUCUGGGCCGGGAAUGACGCUGAGGAGCGAAAGCGUGGGGAGCGAACAGG